CGCGUAGGUGGUUUGUUAAGUCAGAUGUGAAAGCCCAGGGCUCAACCUUGGAACUGCACCUGAUACUGGCAGACUAGAGUACGGUAGAGGGAGGUAGAAUUCCACGUGUAGCGGUGAAAUGCGUAGAGAUGUGGAGGAAUACCAGUGGCGAAGGCGGCCUCCUGGACUGAUACUGACACUGAGGUGCGAAAGCGUGGGGAGCAAACA
rnacentral:rRNA from 1 species